ACACUCCUGCGGGAGGCAGCAGUGGGGAAUUUUGGACAAUGGGCGAAAGCCUGAUCCAGCAAUGCCGCGUGAGUGAAGAAGGCCUUCGGGUUGUAAAGCUCUUUUGUCAGGGAAGAAACGGUGAAAGCUAAUAUCUUUUGCUAAUGACGGUACCUGAAGAAUAAGCACCGGCUAACUACGUGCCAGCAGCCGCGGUAAUACGUAGGGUGCAAGCGUUAAUCGGAAUUACUGGGCGUAAAGCGUGCGCAGGCGGUUUUGUAAGUCUGAUGUGAAAUCCCCGGGCUCAACCUGGGAAUUGCAUUGGAGCCUGCAAGGCUAGAAUCUGGCAGAGGGGGGUAGAAUUCCACGUGUAGCAGUGAAAUGCGUAGAUAUGUGGAGGAACACCGAUGGCGAAGGCAGCCCCCUGGGUCAAGAUUGACGCUCAUGCACGAAAGCGUGGGGAGCAAACAGGAUUAGAUACCCCAGUAGUCCCAUG
rnacentral:rRNA from 1 species